CCCCUCUCUCAAUGAAUCGGGUUCGCAAACGUUCUGAAUCAGUUCGCGAUUCAGUUUGAAUCAUUUGGACUGCUUACUCACGCAUUGGAUUGUUUGGAGCUGUUUCUCAUUGGGCAGUAGAAAGUUAAAAGCGUUACAAAACGCGUUUUACUUAUUAACAGAGAGCACGAAUAAGACCGCAAGAUAAACUGGAUAUUUACUUACAUCGAAACCACCAAACCCGAAAAUGCAUCUUGUCCUGAAAGCGGUGUUUUUUAUGAGUUCAUAGCCUGCGCUUGAAGCUUGUGAACGACUUCCAGGUGGAGGUGUCUAAUCUGUAAGGCAUUUUGAUAUGAGGUGCUGCAGCAAACCCGAAGCGACAAAGAUUUGAACUACAAAAGCAAAUCCCCGCUGAGCCUUCAUGCAAAGCCAAACCUGAUGUGGAGAAGAUGAGGAUAAAUGUCUUUAGUGAGGCAGUUCGGACAGGUAAAGGGAGUGAUCAUCAGGUGUUUUUACAGCCAGAACAUGAAAACAGUGUAGAUAUUAUAAGCCUGGCUAGCUGUCUGUGUCUCACAUAGAUUAUUUAUCGGGAUACGUUCACAUUGAUGUGUAAACAAAUUAGCACAGCGGCCGCCAGUGAGGCUUUGCUUUCAUAGAGGAGGUUUAGCGAGCAGGAAUUACAGUGUGUCUUACGUCAAAUGUGAUUUUAGGAAACCUCUGGUUGUUGAAAACAUUGGAAAUUUGGAAAAACUGCAAGGCUGACUUGAAAAUUUGAGCUGUUAUAAUGCCUGUGGAUAAACUAGUAGAGCUUGGUGCCAACAACUUCAAGGUCGUGGGUCACUCUCAGGGAUAAAAUAGAUAGCUUGAAUGCUCUGUAAGUCAUUGUGAAUAACAGUGUCUGCCAAAUACUUAGAUAUUUAGACAAUGGCUUAACUUGAUACAAAGUUAGCAAUGGUUUUAGUAUACAGUGACCUGAAGGGUUUUAAACUGUAAAUGUUUUGCUGCUAAACUUAAUGCUAAUGAACAUUGACAAUGCUUUGACAAUCUCCUUGAUUUAUUAUUAUUAUUAUUAUUAUUUUUUUUUUAUUUUUUUUUUUUUGCAUGAACUACUCAUAAUGCUCACCCUCUUGUUGUUUGAACUGUGUAUUACACACACACACACACACACAUAUAUAUAUAUAUAUAUAUAUAUAUAUAUAUAUAUAUAUAUAUAUAUAUAUAUAUAUAUAUAUAUAUGUAUGUGUGUGUGUGUGUGUGUGUGUGUUAUAUACUUAUUUCUGCAGUGCAUUUCUGGGGGUUAAAGAGGUGAUGUUUGUACACUUUUGUACAUAACUUUUUGUCAGUCC
ensembl:lncRNA